rnacentral:rRNA from 1 species
AUUGAACGCUGGCGGCAUGCCUUACACAUGCAAGUCGAACGGCAGCGCGGACUUCGGUCUGGCGGCGAGUGGCGGACGGGUGAGUAAUACAUCGGAACGUACCCUGUUGUGGGGGAUAACUAGUCGAAAGAUUAGCUAAUACCGCAUACGACCUGAGGGUGAAAGUGGGGGACCGCAAGGCCUCACGCAGCAGGAGCGGCCGAUGUCUGAUUAGCUAGUUGGUGGGGUAAAGGCCCACCAAGGCGACGAUCAGUAGCUGGUCUGAGAGGACGAUCAGCCACACUGGGACUGAGACACGGCCCAGACUCCUACGGGAGGCAGCAGUGGGGAAUUUUGGACAAUGGGGGCAACCCUGAUCCAGCAAUGCCGCGUGUGUGAAGAAGGCCUUCGGGUUGUAAAGCACUUUUGUCCGGAAAGAAAUCGCGCUGGUUAAUACCUGGCGUGGAUGACGGUACCGGAAGAAUAAGCACCGGCUAACUACGUG